GGCUUAAAAAUGGAAGAGAUUUUUUUUGGUAGUGUAUAUUAUUGGUAGUGAUUUAUUCUGGUAUAGAUGUAAUAUGGUUGAGUUAUUAAUGGUAGGCAUAUUAAUGGUAGAGAUGCUAAUGGUAGGCAUUUUUAUGGGUGACCUGUAUUGUGGUAGACAUUUUUAUGGUAGAGAUUGUUACGAUCGAGUUCGUUACUGGGAGGGUUGUAAUCUGGUAGAGUUGUAAUGUGAGAGAGUUCUUAAGUGGUAGAAUUGUUGAUUGGUUGAAAUUCUUGCGGGUAGUGUUUAAAACAGGUAUAGUUGUUGUGUGGUACAGUUACUUGUGGUAGGCCGGCAGUGUAACAGGCAGUGUGACAACUGUACUCCGAAUUUCUCUGUUCUAUGCCAGCUUUACUCAAAAUGGAUAUUUAGACAUUUUUACUUCAUUUGCAUGAGGAAAUGAAGAAGAGCCAUUUAAAUCAACGCAGAGGUGCCUGAGGUGGAUCCUCCAAGUGUAAAUUUUGUAUAUCACCCACAUCUUGGAGCAAGUGUUCUCCUAAGAACAAAAAUUAUCUUAAAGAAGAUUGAAGAUGAUGAAUACGGAUGUCCUGAUUGCGCUGGAUUGUACGGCGAUUGCGAUGCAGGUUAAUCCCAGCAUUUAAACGUGCCAACUGAACUUCCAUAUCAGUAAUUAUAUUUUGUAGUUGUGCUGGUGAAAAUUUUAAAGUAUAUCAACUUUUUAUAGAUACUAUAACUUUAAAGUAAACAUUAUUGCAGAUGUAUGUACACCGUGAACAAAAAAAAUUGUGUCUUUUGUGU